AUUGGAGCAAGUACAGUAUCUGUCUGCCCCCUAGUGUAAGAGUCCUCGCUGCCUAAAAUUCAACUUUAAAAGAAAAGAGCUCUUAAAGGGAAACGACUUUGUGCUCACGUAGGCAUAGGAGAAUGAAACUUCUAUACAUUUUAAUCUGAAUAAUUCUCCAGGAUUUAAAAUUAAUUGGCUCUGGCUUGGUUGGACCGGACUCGGAUCUCGCCACCUCUGCGUUUCCCGAGUCCCUGGCGGAGAGGUGAUGAUUUUUUUUUUUUCCUGAACUGGGUUUAUGUGCGUCCCCCUCACCCCCUCCUCUCUUUUUCUUUCUCUCUGUCGUCUCUCUCGCUGGCUUUUUAAAAAUGAGGAACCGUUCCUUGAAUGUUCUGGACAGAGCACAGAAUUGCUUAAGUCAGCCCGACGCGGUUGUAAUAGACAGCAAAAAGGUAAACGUUUGCCUGCAAUCCGCACGCCAGCUCCACCACCCCGCCCGAUGAAGAAACACAGUCUUUACUCGGUGUCCACUUGGGAUUUGUUCCCGGACCUCUGAGGGAACCGAAAUCCGAGGAGCUCAAGUCCCUUGUAUAAAAUGAUGUAGUACAGCUGGCCUUCCAUUGCAAUGGGUUCUGCGGGUUCAUCUAACUGCAGAUCAAAUUUUGAUUGGUUGAAUACACAGAUGAGGAAUCCACGGAUAAUAGAAGCCCACUGUAUUAACAUUUAUACAACAUUUUCUUGUAACGUUCUUUGUCCUACAGUUUUUGGGGGGACAUUCUUUCUUAAAUAGUUCAAACACUGAUACAGUUUCUUCUGAGUCUUGUCUACACCCGGAUAACUAAGAUUUGUAACAUUAAGAUGAAGAAAAAAUGGAGGAUGUCCAUCGCUAAGAAUCAAAGACAGUGCCUGGCUGUGUAACAAAGAGAAAAGCUUUGACAGUUGGGACACUUGUUUUUUCCUUUACUCUUGAGACCCUCAUGGAUGAAAGGAAAAUAAAUAUUAAAUUAUUGUAUAUGAAGAACGCACAUGGCUUUGGAAAGGCACCAACUACAAGUGAUCGCGUUCAUUGGCUCGCUGGUUGAAACUUCUGUCAGCUGGUGCAUGUAGGAAGCUGAAGACUGUUUUCCUGACAACUUAUGAGAUCAAAGUUUCGGAUCUUGAAAAGGCAAGACUUUUUUGUUGGGGGAUGGUUUGCAAUCCGCUUAUAGAUAGCUAUAUAAUACAUGGUGCGGGGUUAGUGUCUAACCACCUGAGCGUAGAGCAUUGGUGUUUCAAAAGGAAUUGGGGGAGGUGAAGCCCACAUUACAGUUAACUGGAGUCUCACUAGGCAAAGUCACCACAGGACUCUGCCAAAGAGCCCCCAGGUCUUCACUGAUUCGGAGGGCUGCCAUGCCUACUUUCUCACUUCCUCCACCUACCUCCUCCACCUCCUCCACCCCAGAGCUGCCCAGCAGCUAGACGGCUCUUGCGUAUGAGACUCCUGGUCUCACCACUACCUGGGAAAUUCGUUUUUCUCCUCUUGACUACGUAGAGCGUCUUUUCCAUGAAGGUUAACCCACAGUGAGAGGUUACCUAACUCAAGCCUCAGAAUGCGCACACUGCAUCUUUAAGAAAUAGUUUACUUGUGAAUCAGUAAACGUCCCAGACAAAGCAGCCAUUACAUAUGCGUUCCUGCCUACCCGGCAAGGUGCAAAUAAUAGAAUAAACAUCAUAUACUUCAUUAUGAUAUCGGUUUACACUUCCAGGGUACACAAAAAGAGGCCAUUUCAUCAAGCUAAUUGCCUGAAAGUAAAAGAGAGAGAACUUUCGCUAUUAGUCUAUUAUGGGGCUUUUUUCUUAAUCACAAAUAGGGGCCGUGGGUCCCCAGGGGGAUGUGGAUUCUAAUUUACAAUUGAACUACAGAUCAGAGCAAUCAAUCUUGGGCAACACUUUUACAGUGUAAUUGCUACAACAUAACAAAUAAAACAACAACAACAACAACAACAACAACAACAAAAAACAAAACAAAAAAAAAAACAAAGGAGAAGCAGAAGCAGAAGACGAAGAGGAAGGUCCGAGCUUCAGCUUGGGAUGGAGCUAUUUCUAGGCACCAGUUCGGGGAGGGAGGAGGUAGAGGAACCUCCUCACACAUGAAUAUGCGAUGAAGGCUCAUUAGCGGUCUCGUGUUGCCAUGACGAAUGGCAUGAUCCCCGGCUUGCUGCUGCCUGAACAUGGAUUUUAUAACGACCCAUUUAUCAUGACUUGUCAUGGGCUUCUGUACUGUACUUUCUGCCGGCUCCCACACCUUUCCCUGUUCGGACGCUGGAAACCUUCCCUCUGAUGAUGAUUGUUUCCUUUUGUGUUGAUUUCCGGCUCUUCGCAGCCGGCGUUCCCAGAGAGCUGCAUGCGGAUCUGUGACUCCAGCAAGUUGAAGAGCUCUGACCUGAUGACACAUCCCACCUUCUCUACAGUCACGUAACUGAGAAAAAAGUAGGGCUAAACUGUUAAAGGAAUUUCUUCAUGUCUGAGCUUUUUUUUUUAACCAUAGUGUUCUGACGCUGCAGAGUUUUUUUUUUUUAAUUUAAAAUUGGGGGGAAGGUAUAGCCCAGGGGUAGAGCGCAUGCUUAGUGUGCACGAGAUCCUGGGUUCAAUCUCCAGUACCUCCAUUAAUUUUUUUAAUUAAUUUUUUUUAAUUUAAAUUAACACAGGUGUCUUCCUUUCAUUUAUUUUAUCCUCCCCCCACUUUUUUUUUUUUUUUGUAUUUCAGGACCUUCCAAUAUCUUAAAAGUAGAACUCAAAAGUCUUUAUGGUUUUUUCUUUCCCCCCAGAUCUUGGCAUCAUGACAAAAAAGUAUAAGAUUAAAAGGCUUGAAAGAUUUUUAGUGCUUAGCGGUUUACAAGUUCAUGAGCUGAUUUCUUGCCUAGAAACUUUCUUCUGUUGUGGGGAGGAAGGUUGGCCUGCUCUUUGAUGACAAUUUCUCAGGACUUGUAUGUUUUGCUAAUAGCAAACAAAACAAAACCCUGAAAACCAUCUCCCUUGAUAGAAGCCGUGAGGUCUUUUUGAAUAUUUAGCAGCCACAAAAUAGCGAUAUGCAAGUUUGAGUCUUUGCCAUUGGCCGGGAGGGUGUGGGAGUCCAUCAAAGUGAAGCGGACCAGUGGGUCCAGAAUCUGGUUCUGGAUAGGCAGAUUCUGUAUGGGCAGAUGUGCCCUAUUGUAACAGAUACCCAAUCAGUGGGAUCUAUGAUUAGCCUAUUUAGUUACUAUUAACAGAAUGUCCCUAAAAUUGUUUCCUCCUUCAGCCAGCUGAAGGGCAGGAAGAGGGUAGGACCAUAGGGGCUUUGAAUCUGGUGUUGUUUUGCACAUCUAGGAAUUAAAUCCCCAUUCCUGUAUACAGUUUGUAAACAGUAAAUAGUUGGCUUUUUGAGUGUGGCCAUCUCUCUUGGGCCCCUGGAUUCCAUAUUAGCAGUAACAAUUCUUUUACAUAGUAAUAUUUCAACAUUAAUAAUAUGUGAAAAUAAUUGUAAAAGAUUUUAUCAUCAAUGUCCGAUUUGUAUUUGCAAAGCAUUUUGUGGUUCCAGAUUUUUUUCCUUAGAUCCUCAGUUUACCUGGGGCCAGGGUUAUUAUUCCCAUUUUAGAGAAGAGAAGAUUGAGGCUCAGAGCUUAAGUGACAAGCUCAGGGUUACUCAGAAAAUGGCAAUGCUGGGGUUCAACAUCAAGUCUUUCAAUUCCUAGGUCAGUUCUUCUACCUGCCCAAAGCCACCAGAGCCAACAUUGUUCCUAAAAUGUCAUCUCUUCUGGAUUAGUAAGUUGGGAAAGGAACCCCUUGAAAAGAUGGCUAUCAUUUACACUGGAGAGCCUGCGACUCUCCUAAACUCCUUACUAGAGUUGAAAUUAGCACAUGCUGGUCAAUUAAAAUUAAGUUGCCAUUCCAAUCACUUAAGUUGAAUUACCUUUCAUCAUUUCAAAAGGCAGAUAGGAAGUAUUUUUCAACAGAAAGACUUAGGCACCACAUUCUGGCUGGUGUUCUUGUGGUAUGAGUCUGCUGGGCAUUAUGUUUUUUGCUUCUGAAGAAGGUAUCUUUGUGUUUCCCCCCAUAAAUGAAUGAAACAAGAUUUUUUAGAAAUAAUUUGGUGAAGAAAGGAUUCAAAUAUUGGCAGAUGAUAUUAAAGAACACUGUGAUUAUGACUGAACAGAUUAAGACUGUGUCUGUAUGACACCAAACAUCUGGAAGAAAAUAGAAAAAAAUAGUAAAAAACCUUGAUGUUUUGUUUACUUGAUACCAUGCAUCUGGAUCUCUAAAAACAUCUGGGCUUUUGACUUUUUUUCUCCAAGGUUUUAUCUGGAUGAUGGCAUCAUGUACAGAAAGGUGAAAAAAAAUUAAUAUCAUUAUUACUGAAUUAGAUAAAAUUAUUGUAUGUCAUUAAUCUGCAAAUAUUAACUAAUUAUUCUGUUUAACAUAACAUUUAAUGAGUAAAAUUCUCCACCAGGCAAAAAAAUACAGAAAGGAAGAUAUAAUUAGGUGCUUUAAGAAUGAAACUUGGCUUCAGGCUUAUUUAAAUCUUGGUCAUAGUUUACUGACAGCAAUUUCCUUGGGCAAAAAUUUUUUAGGUCCUCAGACAACAACUUUCUCUCCUGGGGAGCAGUUUCCAUGUGUUAUGAGGAUCUGUUAAUUUACAGUGUGUUUUGACAAUGGUAAAAUUUCGUAAACACUUGGUAACAUAUGAGGUACAUCUAGUAAUAGACGUUUGCUUUGCCAAGUGAAUUACCCAGCCUGAUAAAAUCAGUGUAAGCCCCUUCUCUAAGCCUUCUGACAUGCUGGAGGCUGCACCCCAAAGCAGAACCAACUGAAACAGACUUCAAAGACUUCGUUGCAAUGAAAAGCACCUCAUGUGACUGACGUUUUUUUUGUGAUCUCAUCUAAGAAAAAGUUAUCAUAAUUAUUGAACAUUUCCUCUGUAGCUUAUUCUCAAUCCAAUCAGUUAUAAUGAAAAUAGUCUGCUUGCUUUUUAUAUUCUCAAGUUUUCAAAAUGAUUAGUGCUUCCUUGAGAUCGCCCAUUAAUUGGACACACAAGCCAGAUGAAAAGCUUGAAACCCAAGAGUAUAUAAAAAAACAUAAGGUUGUUGCAAUUUAAGUGCCUUCAAAAGAUCUAAUUUGAUUUUUAAAAGCAAUUCUGCAGAUGUGAAAAUUAAAGGCAGGCAGAAACAAGAUAUGGUUUAAUGAAUAUGUAGGUAAAGAACAUUUAGAGGUUUCAGUAGCCUUACUGUGAAUUAAAAAUUUUUUUUUUUUAUUUAGCUAUUGGGUUGGAAAGAUUGCUCCCACAGCACAAUAGAAAUUGCUGAAUUUUAUGGGUGGCUAUUUCCUUACCAAAUUGCACCAUUUUUCUUGCCCAGCAUAUUUCUGCAGCCACUUUGUAUUUCUGUGUGUAGCCUUUCAGUCCCAGUACCUGCCAAUCAGAUUUCAAAUUUUAAUAAAGUUGAAGGGUCUCCCUACUUGGUCUGUCUUAGCUGCUUCAUUCAUGAGCCUGUUUCCCUCUCACCAGGAGCAAAGUGUGCACUUAUUCUCAAAGAAAGAAAGAAAGAAUGAAAGAAAAAUUAAAAAAAAAAAACCCUUCUAUUGGCUCUAAUGACAUCUUCAGUCAUUAAUGAGUUAAUAAAAAUCUCAAAGUCAUCUGGGGCUAGAUAAGGAGGAAGAAAGAAAAGUAUUGUACUGUAAUGACAGGCUCCCUGGCUGCCCUCUGAGAUGUCAUGGGUCAGUCAUGUUAAGAAUGUGUACAUCCAAUCAUCUGCUGAUUUUUAUCAGCAAGCCCUCCAGCGGGAACUGACAAGGGCCAGUUUGGGAGUCACAAUGAAUAAACAAUGACUUUUUGGAUUGUUGGGGGCUGUGUCGUAGAGUGAGGGGUUUAUAUAUACUAAAACAUGAUGACAUUAGCAAUCAAUAUACCAAUUACAGGACAAGUUAUUGGCUGAGGCAUUCACAGGUCUUCAGCCUCCUUGUACUUGGAAGAGGUCUCUCGAGCAGGGAGGCUCCCUACGUGCAGAGGCAGGCAGGGGUCCAAGACCCGAGGCCCCGAUCGAAAAGGCAAGCCCCGCUUCUCUGGCUGACGUGGUCCGGGCCUGGAUGUUUGGAACGGCUUGCUGUGUUUACUAAAAAUGCAGAUUCCUGAAUCUCCUUCCUAGAGAUGCCAUCUCAGGAGUCUAGGGUGAGGCUGCUGCUUGGUGCCUAUAACAAAAUUUCUAGGUAACAUUGAUUAGGUAAGUUCGGGAGCUGCUGGACAGCUGUAAUUUCCAAAGUGUGGUCCUGGACCAGUAGCAUCACCAGGGUGCUCAUUAGCAAUGCAAAUUCUCAGGCCCCUCCCCGGACCGACUGAAACAGAAACUCUGGAGGUGCAGCUCCAGGUCUGUUUUGUAACGCAGCCUCGCAGCCUCAGGGUGGUUGUGGGCUCCCUAGAGUUUGAAAACCAAGGCAAAGAUCCCUGCUGAACGGGGAGGGUAUGGCUCAGUGGUAGAGCGCAUGCUUAGCAUGCAUGGGGUCUAGCUUCAACCCCCAGUAUCUCCACUAAAGAAAAAAUAAAAUUAAAAAAAAAAAAGAUCCCAACCGAGAGUUUGUGAUACAGCCCUGUCUAUCAUCCAGCUCCUCCGGGGUGCCUCAUGGGUAAUUUUUCACUCAUGCUCAUGAAGAGGCUGAAGUCUGCAAAUGAUUUACCUAAAAAAAAAAAAAAUCAAAGGAGGGUAGAGCCAAGCUUAUCUCUACAAUCACAUCACUCUCAUUCAUGCGCACACACCUCUGGAUUUUCUUGAAUGAUCUCAAGAUCUUGGGCUUUUAACUUCUGCGUGGCAACAAGUUAGCACCUUGAUGCCAAGAUUCCUUUCUAAGGGACAAGGAUAUAAUCUCCAGGAGGGCUCCAGCUCCUGUCCCUGGCAUAGCUAGUGGUCAAUGAGUGUUCACUGAAUAAAUGAAGAAAAGAGUUAAUAAAUCAAUGAAUAAGGGACUGCCUUAUUAUAAGAAUUUCUCGUCGUUUCCUGAUCUGUUUUGCUUAAAAGAAGGCAUGGGUGUGAGCCACGGAGGUUUUUACCAAAAUCACAGAUUUUUUUACCCAAAGCUGUGUCCUUUUCACCCCCGAUGAGAGUAAGACUUCCUUGGGGACCGUUUGUUACCUGUGGCACGGCAGGCAGCCUUGUGGACCAAAUGAGCUGCAUCCACCCCAACCAGAGUGAGACGUUGGAUGAUAAAAAGAUAUACCACCUCCUGGAAACAGACGCUGGAUUUUAUGGUGGAAGCAGAGAAGCCAAAGCCUGCAGGUGCGGGCUGGGCUGACACAGGCUCUGUGGAGCAUCAUUAGAGCCUCCUUAGAGAUGCGGAUUUACUCUGUGUUUAAUCAGGCACGGGCAGAAGAAAUGGCUUCAUUUCAGCUCGAUGAGAGGCAGAUCACAACAGGAAGAUAGAUGGCCAAUCCGGUUCAUCACCUCAGGCAUAUUGCCUUAAUUUGAAGGAGCAGCCUGGCACCCAUGCUAAUCAAGAGGAGAGGGCAAGCCAGCUCGCGACGAGGGCCAGCCAGUUUAACUCUCAUUGCGUCCCUUAAAGAGAAGCUCUUAUUUGUUUUCUUAAUUGAUAUUGUAAGGAAGGAGAGAACCAGAAAACGCAUUACUCAAUCACUUAAGAAGUUCCCCAGCUUCCAAUUCAAGAUGCUUAAAGCAGGACUUGUUAUACCCGAAAUGUCUAAACCUCUGCCUAUAAAGAAGUUUCACAGCCAACGAAUGAAGUGUCUCAGGAAAGACGAUCAAUUUGCCGGCUGCUUUUUAGUACCUGGUCAUGAUUGCAGUUGGCUGGGAAAGAGCUACAAAUAGAGACCACGUUGUGUCUGUGGUGUGGUUACCUGCUGGUCAUUUGGAGGCUCUUGUUGGUGGCUCGGUCCUCUGCUGGUCUUCGGCCCUCCAGAGCAGGCAUGUAAAACCUUGGGGAGGCACGUGAAAAUGGAGGUUCAGCUCUGCUCAGCCACAGCUUCCCGAUUGCCUAAAAAUGCCAGAAGAGGGAUUUGAAGCUUGCGUGGGAGCAGUCACACAGAUCUGAACUCAGGGUCCUUGCCAAACCCCAAUUAUUUGAAGUAAAAGCAGAUAACGGGCAGUUUGGGUACUUACCAACCCGUGGAUGUUUCAGAAUCAUUUGGUAUGUGUCACAUCUGGGCUUUCCUGAGAUCCCCGGAGCCUGAGCACAGGGAGCUUUUCCAGCUCUCCCCACCCCAAUGACUAUUUUCCAGAUGUUCUGAAACAACAUCAAAUGGCCCUGUUUACCCCUGGGAGGUUUAUAAAGGUGCACUGAUGGAGAGGCUGGCUGAGGGAGGCUGAGAUAUUCACUCAACAGCUGAGUCCUAGAAAAUCUCCAUAAACGUGGCAUCAAAUCUUUACCUAAGGCACACUGAACUACGUGAAACACUCCUAACGUGAAGAAGAAACUUAAGAAGCUUAACUAUGGACAUAGAAAUAUUAUCAUCAGCCAUCAUAGUAAUAGUAUCCGGUCACUCCCCACCUACAGGCACAGAUUUCAGCUUAAGCAGAUGUGGGAGAACUGUGUGGUCUUAAGAAUGUUUGAAUAUCAGCCAGUCAAGGGGAAGGACUUUGUUACCAUAAAACCUGAACACUUGUCUUUUGUUUUUUAAGCUAAAUAUGAAGAGAACACAAUCACAAUUGCAGAAAUGAAGAGUCUACGGAGAGGCAUGCCCAGGUUUUGUACAAACCUUCACGGGGAAACAACAACAUGGAAACAAGAGGAGCCAUCAUUAGCAGAUAGGAAAUUUGUUUCAUUCUCGACACAUGGGCAGCAAAUGCCAGAGCAGCCCCUGGGUUCAGAACCCAGGUCUUUGCCUACGUAGUGGAGGUGAGUCAUUCUCUCAGGGAGAAACAAUGUGUUGCCUUCUACUCAGUCACAUGAAAAGAGCCACCAGUUCCCGCCAAACAUGAACAAUGGGUCAAAAUCUGGCGAGAAGGUGGGAUAAUUCCUCCAUGGCACAUCUGCUACAUGGAGACGACAUUCAGUGGAAUAGGUUCUCCCGGUGCCCCCAAAGUAAGCAACCUCCCAAUGCUUUGAUGUGAAAAGUGCUUCGUGUUCUAGAGUCUGUCAAUUACCCAGCAGCUGCCAGUGCAGAACAAACAACCUUCCUGGCACGACUUCCAUUGUCACUGGCAUUGAACUCAUGGCAGUCAUCCUGUUAAGGUCCUUUAUACAGGAAAGGGGAAGUGAGGACGUAUAAGGGGCUCUCACUCUCUGCAGAUCUCAGAAUGCCUACUGGUGGCCCUGCUCUUGAGCAGGAAUUCAUGGGAGAUCGUUCUGCUGCGACAUGUCACCAACUCACGGAUGACAGUCCUUUCACAGAGCUCCAAAAUAGACGCCCCCCAUCUAUUGGACGGCUGGGAAUCUUGGCCAGCUCUGACAUGCCUGUCUAGCUCAAACUCUGGUAAAGAAGCGGAACUCCAACUUUUGUGGCGACAUGGAUGCUCCUUUGAGUGAGAUAAGAGGGCUGGCUACUCUUUGCUUUGCAAACGUGUGGUCGGAAACAUUAACAAUUAAUCCUCUUGAGUCAAUUGUCACUGCUGGUGCUUUUUUGAUUCCUGCAAGUGAUCUGUUCAUAGUUAGAAACAUGAGUUACUUUACCCUUAUCUUAACAUCCUUAACCAUCAGUGUUGUUAUUGGUCAUCAAAUUAGCCAUUUCCUCUCAUUUGAAAUCGAGUGACAGUUCUGGGUGGUUUGAGUUGAGUGAGUUGGACAAGGGGAAAUAGGCGAUUUCCUCUGCCUCUUGUAGAGUUAAUCUCUCAUCCAGAGACUGCUUCAAGCAUCUCUUUCAACAGUGGUCUUUAUUCCUAGUUUAGCAGCAUAGCCGUAAAGGACAAGUUUCUUCUUUACAACGCUGCAACUCAAAGUCUGAAUGAUAGAUGAUUUCCUGGUCCUGAAGAAGACACUUGAGCACUUAUAUUUCUUUCAACAAUUUUUCCCAGUUUGAACAAGACAGUCCAUUUCUCAUUUAAGCAUGGAGCAAGCAGGUUAUGUGUGUGCAAACAAAAAUGUCUGGUCUCCAUUCCAGGGCUGGGUCAGAAGAAGGACUUAGAAAAAAUAUUGUGGGCCACAACAGUGGGUUUUUUUUGUUUUUUUAUUUUUGGUGGCCAUUAUUCAAUAUUUGGGACUUUCUCUCCUAUCUGCAUCAAUUUCCUCUGCUCCUAAAUAUCCUAUUUGGAUCUGCUGAGAGAAGAAAUUUUCUCACCAUGGGUCUUUGGCUAUUUUCUUGGUUCACCCUGGUGGCCCCAAUAAAGAAACUUCUGGUUCUUCA